rnacentral:rRNA from 1 species
AUACGUAGGUGGCGAGCGUUGUCCGGAAUUACUGGGUGUAAAGGGCGUGUAGGCGGGUAUACAAGUCAGAUGUGAAAUACCGGGGCUCAACUCCGGGGUUGCAUUUGAAACUGUAUAUCUUGAGUACAAGAGAGGGAAGUGGAAUUCCUAGUGUAGCGGUGAAAUGCGUAGAUAUUAGGAGGAACACCAGUGGCGAAGGCGACUUCCUGGCUUGUAACUGACGCUGAGGCGCGAAAGCGUGGGUAGCGAACAGGAUUAGAUACCCUGGUAGUCUACGCCGUAAACGAUGGAUACUAGGUGUAGGAGGUAUCGACCCCUUCUGUGCCGUAGUUAACGCAAUAAGUAUCCCACCUGGGGAGUACGGCCGCAAGGCUGAA